rnacentral:rRNA from 1 species
AUUGAACGCUAGCGGGGUGCUUUACACAUGCAAGUCGAACGAGUGGCGGACGGGUGAGUAAUAGAUCGGAACGUGCCCCGUAGCGGGGGAUCACUACUGGAAAGAGUGGCUAAUACCGCAUACUAUUAGAGCGGCCGAUAUCGGAUUAGCUAGUUGGUGGGGUAAAGGCACACCAAGGCAACGAUCCGUAGCUGGUGUGAGAGGCCGACCAGCGACACUGGGACUUAGACACGGCCCAGAAUCCUACGGGAGGCAGCAGUGGGGAAUUUUGGAGAAUGGGGGAAACCCUGAUCCAGCCAUCCCGCGUGUAUGAGAAGGCCUUCGGGUUGUAAAGUACUUUUGGCAGAGAAGCGGUAUCUGCAGAAUAAGCACCGGCUAACUACGUGCCAGCCGCCGCGGUAAUUC